UACGGGGGGGGCAAGCGUUGUUCGGAAUUACUGGGCGUAAAGGGCUCGUAGGCGGCCAACUAAGUCAGACGUGAAAUCCCUCGGCUUAACCGGGGAACUGCGUCUGAUACUGGAUGGCUUGAGUUUGGGAGAGGGAUGCGGAAUUCCAGGUGUAGCGGUGAAAUGCGUAGAUAUCGGAAGGAACAUCAGUGGCGAAAGCGACUUCCUGGACCAGCACCGACGUUCAGGCACGAAAGCGUGGGGAGCAAACAGG
rnacentral:rRNA from 1 species